rnacentral:rRNA from 1 species
GAUCCUGGCUCAGGAUGAACGCUGGCGGCGUGCCUAACACAUGCAAGUCGAACGGAGUAAUUAAGCGGAAGUCUUCGGAUGGAAGCUCAGCUACUUAGUGGCGGACGGGUGAGUAACGCGUGGGCAACCUGCCCUGUACCGGGGGAUAACACUUAGAAAUAGGUGCUAAUACCGCAUAAGCGCACGGUCUCGCAUGAGACAGUGUGAAAACUCCGGUGGUACAGGAUGGACCCGCGUCUGAUUAGCUAGUUGGUGGGGUAGAGGCCUACCAAGGCGACGAUCAGUAGCCGGCCUGAGAGGGUGACCGGCCACAUUGGGACUGAGACACGGACCCAAACUCCGUACGGGAGGCAGCAGGUGGGGAAUAUUGCACAAUGGGGAAACCCUGAUGCAGCGACGCCGCGUGAGUGAAGAAGUAUUUCGGUAUGUAAAGCUCUAUCAGCAGGGAAGAAAAUGACGGUACCUGACUAAGAAGCCCCGGCUAACUACGUGCCAGCCGCCGC